UACAUCUUUGAGAAGUGUGUAUUUUGAAUCAAACUUUAUUGACCGGAAGUUACAUAAGCCAAGCAGAGAAAUCUCCGGUUCCAGCACGUACUUUAUGGUGGUUAUUUUCGAAGAAAAACUGCAUAUAUCCUUUGUUUAAGGUUGCAUCGCCGUUUCACCCUUUUGAAUGUCAUUAAACCUGCUGACAACGCUCA